rnacentral:sRNA from 1 species
AGCGAUGAGAGAAGAUAUGGAAAGUUCACAGUUGUGCUUGCACAAACUGUGAACUUUAUAUAGAUUCUCGAGGAGCGCCGCGACAAUGCCAGAACAUAGUUCUGGCAUAUCGUUGCU